rnacentral:rRNA from 1 species
UACGAAGGGGGCUAGCGUUGCUCGGAAUCACUGGGCGUAAAGCGCACGUAGGCGGAUUGUUAAGUCGGGGGUGAAAUCCUGGAGCUCAACUCCAGAACUGCCUUCGAAACUGGCGAUCUUGAGUCCGGGAGAGGUGAGUGGAACUGCGAGUGUAGAGGUGAAAUUCGUAGAUAUUCGCAAGAACACCAGUGGCGAAGGCGGCUCACUGGCCCGGUACUGACGCUGAGGUGCGAAAGCGUGGG